rnacentral:rRNA from 1 species
AGCCAUGCGAGUCAUUGUAGCAAUACAAGGCAGACGGCUCAGUAACGCGUAGUCAAUCUACCCUAUGGACGGGAAUAACCUCGGGAAACUGAGAAUAAUACCCGACAGAACAUUAUACCUGGAACGGUUUAUGUUUCAAAUGAUUUAUCGCCGUAGGAUGGGACUGCGGCCUAUCAGUUUGUUGGUGAGGUAAUGGCCCACCAAGACUAUUACAGGUACGGGCUCUGAGAGGAGUAGCCCGGAGAUGGGUACUGAGACACGGACCCAGGCCCUAUGGGGCGCAGCAGGCGAGAAAACUUUGCAAUGUGCGAAAGCACGACAAGGUUAAUCCGAGUGGUUUCUGCUAAAGAAACCUUUUGCUAGUCCUAGAAACACUAGUGAAUAAGGGGUGGGCAAGUUCUGGUGUCAGCCGCCGCGGUAAAACCAGCACCUCAAGUGGUCAGGAUGAUUAUUGGGCCUAAAGCAUCCGUAGCUCGUUUUGUAAGUUUUCGGUUAAAUCCAUACGCUUAACGUAUGGGCUGCCGGGAAUACUGCAUAACUAGGAAGUGGGAGAGGUAGACGGUACUCGGUAGGAAGGGGUAAAAUCCUUUGAUCUAUUGAUGACCACCUGUGGCGAAGGCGGUCUACCAGAACACGUUCGACGGUGAGGGAUGAAAGCUGGGGGAGCAAACCGGAUUAGAUACCCGGGUAGUCCCAGCUGUAAACUAUGCAAACUCAGUGA